rnacentral:lncRNA from 12 species
GCAGGCUGGGGGUGCGGGGCCCUUAGUAACAGGGGAGGAUGGGAGAUGGUGGCUGAGGAGCUGUGGGCACUCACAGUGAAUUGGGAUGAUUGGAAAAACCUUGAGAGAAAUUAAUUCAGAGUCGGUCUGCAGUAAGCCCUGGACUGCACUGAGCUAGUGUGGAGUUGUUAUGGAGCGAUUCUUAAUUUUAAAAAUACUGCAGAUAUUUGCUUCACAGUUGUCAUUUUUUAUAGGGAGAGGGAGGCUUGCCAAAGAAGUUGAUGUGGGCUUUUCUGGGGUAUUACCCACUGUUCUAACAGGUGGGAGAUGAAGGAGCAGGACACUUUGUGAAGAUGGUGCACGAUGGGAUAGAGUACGGCGAUAUGCAGCUCAUCUGUGAGGCUUACCACCUGAUGGAAGAUGUGCUGGGCAUGGAGCAUAACAAGAUGGCAGAGACGGAUGCUGACAGAGGAGCUGCCCUGCUGAUGAUGGGAGGGCUGUGGCUGCCAGUCUGCACAUCUCCUGCUGACUACAGUUCCACCUGCAAGUGGACACAGGUGCUCUGUCCUGGUUUGAAGGAUGAGAGACACUCAUCGCAUAUGGAGGAACAUAAGAAACACAGAAUUAUCGUUCAUCAGCAUCAAAAUGAUCAAGCAGCAGGUGCUGGUAACAAAUGUGACUCCCUAAGAAGAGCAGCAGAAGAGAGGAGGAAGAGGAAGAACCAGGAAACCAACAGUUAUGCAAAGCCACUGCCAACAUAAUCACGAGCUGCUGUGUGGAGUCUUAAGUACCUCAUGGAAAAAUAACUCUGAAUUGGAAUUCUUCCCAAAAGCCAGCUUCGUUAAUGCUUUGACAACUGAGGGCAAUCUGAAUAUGUCUUUGCUCCUUUACUACUGGAACCUACCUAAGGAAUUACUGAUCUUUCCUGAUCCAAAGUAUCUCAGGGCCCCAUGGGCUACCAGGAUGGCUCUCUCUUCUGGAGUGGCAAGCGCUGAGAUUUCUGCUUUGUCUUGGGGUAGGGAUGGCUCCUCAAUACAAGAAUCAAGGAAGGUGAAAGGCAGCUUUAAAACUUGCUUAAUUAUUGUACUUACAU